rnacentral:snoRNA from 1 species
AUUUAUGAAUGAUUAUAGGUAUUAUAACUUUUCUGGGAUAUUGCAGGUCAACUACCCGUGGCUAGAGCACGUGGGCUUCCUUGCCACCUGAUCGUGAAU